rnacentral:rRNA from 1 species
AACGAACGCUGGCGGCAUGCCUAACACAUGCAAGUCGAACGAGAUCUUCGGGUCUAGUGGCGCACGGGUGCGUAACGCGUGGGAAUCUGCCCUUUGGUUCGGAAUAACAGUUGGAAACGACUGCUAAUACCGGAUGAUGACGAAAGUCCAAAGAUUUAUCGCCAGAGGAUGAGCCCGCGUAGGAUUAGCUAGUUGGUGUGGUAAAGGCGCACCAAGGCGACGAUCCUUAGCUGGUCUGAGAGGAUGAUCAGCCACACUGGGACUGAGACACGGCGCAGAAUCCGACGGGGGGCCGCAGUGGGGAAUAUUGGACAAUGGGAGAAAGCCUGAACCAGCAAUGCCGCGUGGGUGAUGAAGGCCUUAGGGUUGUAAAUCUCUUUUACCCGGGAUGAUAAUGACAGUACCGGGAGAAUAAGCUCCGGCUAACUCCGUGCCAGCAGCCGCGGUAA